AGAAGCUGCGGAGAGGCCGUGUCGGUCAAGGGACUUCCGCCCCACUGGCUGUCAUGAUCAGAUUCCGAUCUUUCUGUGUGAAAUCCCGAAUACUGAAACCGAGUAGGGGAGAAAAGUCCAUUUCAAAAAUCAAUCGAUCAGUAAGAGAAAACAAACAAACAAAAAACAGCCUUUAUUUACUCUACAAGCACCCUUAAGGUCUCAUUGUCCUGAGGUCGUCAAAAUAACCGUUGCUUUGGCAUCAUGGCUGUGCACACCUAACUUGGAAUUACUUAAUUCAUUAUGAUGCUUCCAAAGAAAAUCCUUUUGGUUGAUGAAAGCAGGAGAUAAAGAUAAUAAUGGCAACCAUCGACUGAAGUACUAGGCACUGAAUGAAGUGCCUCAUAUGAACUAUCCACUUAGCUCCUGCAGUAAACCCUUAAUGGCGCUAUUAGUAUCCCCAGUUUAGGGAUAGAGAAGCUAACGCUCAGAGAGAGAAAGUGAUUUGCCCAAAGCCACAGUGUUAGCAGGUGACACAACCAAGAUUCAGACCCAGGUUCUUCGUCUACCCUAACAGUAUUGCCAAAGAGAGAUUCCAAAGUUACCGCCUGGCCACUGGGUAAACCUCCGCAGCAGAGAGACCUACUUUAUGUUUCAUUUUCAAGCUCCUAUGGAGCCCAGCAGAGAGAGCUGACAAGGAGGAAUACUGCGAGGGGCUCACAGACUAAGACAAUCUGCUGGGAAAUUAGGAUUUUCAGAACAUAUGGUGGGCAUACAGAAGUCAGUAAAAAGCAUCAAGGCGUAUACCACCUGCCUCUAAAAUCAUCCAGUUUUCCUAUAUGCCCUGUUGCAACUGCUUAUUAAAACAAGGUUGCUAAAUAAUUCAUUGUUGCUUUUGUUAGAUAAUAAUAACUUAUUUUUUAGGCAUAUUUUAACUUCAGCAAUAAAUCAGGAAAUUAGAAAA
rnacentral:lncRNA from 1 species